GACGAACGCUGGCGGCGUGCUUAACACAUGCAAGUCGAGCGGUAAGGCCCUUUCGGGGGUACACGAGCGGCGAACGGGUGAGUAACACGUGGGUGACCUGCCUCUAGCUCUGGGAUAAGCCCGGGAAACUGGGUCUAAUACUGGAUAUGACUCCAUGACGCAUGUUGUGGGGUGGAAAGCCUUGUGCGGCUAGAGAUGGGCCCGCGGCCUAUCAGCUUGUUGGUGGGGGAUGGCCUACCAAGGCGACGACGGGUAGCCGGCCUGAGAGGGCGACCGGCCACACUGGGACUGAGACACGGCCCAGACUCCUACGGGAGGCAGCAGUGGGGAAUCUUGCGCAAGUGGGACGAAAGCCUGACGCAGCGACGCCGCGUGAGGGAUGAC
rnacentral:rRNA from 1 species